rnacentral:rRNA from 1 species
GAUCAGUGGCGAACGGGUGAGUAACACGUGAGCAACCUGCCCCUGACUCUGGGAUAAGCGCUGGAAACGGCGUCUAAUACUGGAUACGAGACGUGACCGCAUGGUCAACGUUUGGAAAGAUUUUUUGGUUGGGGAUGGGCUCGCGGCCUAUCAGCUUGUUGGUGAGGUAAUGGCUCACCAAGGCGUCGACGGGUAGCCGGCCUGAGAGGGUGACCGGCCACACUGGGACUGAGACACGGCCCAGACUCCUACGGGAGGCAGCAGUGGGGAAUAUUGCACAAUGGGCGGAAGCCUGAUGCAGCAACGCCGCGUGAGGGAUGACGGCCUUCGGGUUGUAAACCUCUUUUAGCAGGGAAGAAGCGAAAGUGACGGUACCUGCAGAAAAAGCACCGGCUAACUACGUGCCAGCAGCCGCGGUAAUACGUAGGGUGCAAGCGUUAUCCGGAAUUAUUGGGCGUAAAGAGCUCGUAGGCGGUUUGUCGCGUCUGCUGUGAAAUCCGGAGGCUCAACCUCCGGCCUGCAGUGGGUACGGGCAGACUAGAGUGCGGUAGGGGAGAUUGGAAUUCCUGGUGUAGCGGUGGAAUGCGCAGAUAUCAGGAGGAACACCGAUGGCGAAGGCAGAUCUCUGGGCCGUAACUGACGCUGAGGAGCGAAAGGGUGGGGAGCAAACAGGCUUAGAUACCCUGGUAGUCCACCCCGUAAACGUUGGGAACUAGUUGUGGGGUCCAUUCCACGGAUUCCGUGACGCAGCUAACGCAUUAAGUUCCCCGCCUGGGGAGUACGGCCGCAAGGCUAAAACUCAAAGGAAUUGACGGGGACCCGCACAAGCGGCGGAGCAUGCGGAUUAAUUCGAUGCAACGCGAAGAACCUUACCAAGGCUUGACAUAUACGAGAACGGGCCAGAAAUGGUCAACUCUUUGGACACUCGUAAACAGGUGGUGCAUGGUUGUCGUCAGCUCGUGUCGUGAGAUGUUGGGUUAAGUCCCGCAACGAGCGCAACCCUCGUUCUAUGUUGCCAGCACGUAAUGGUGGGAACUCAUGGGAUACUGCCGGGGUCAACUCGGAGGAAGGUGGGGAUGACGUCAAAUCAUCAUGCCCCUUAUGUCUUGGGCUUCACGCAUGCUACAAUGGCCGGUACAAAGGGCUGCAAUACCGCGAGGUGGAGCGAAUCCCAAAAAGCCGGUCCCAGUUCGGAUUGAGGUCUGCAACUCGACCUCAUGAAGUCGGAGUCGCUAGUAAUCGCAGAUCAGCAACGCUGCGGUGAAUACGUUCCCGGGUCUUGUACACACCGCCCGUCAAGUCAUGAAAGUCGGUAA